rnacentral:misc_RNA from 1 species
UUUCCGUAGGUGAGCCAGCGGAAGGAUCAUUAUUGUAUAACCGAGGUGCGAGGGCUGUCGCUGACCCGAAAGGUCGUGCACGCCCGAGUGCCCUCACACACAUCCACCUCACCCCUAUGUGCACCACCGCGUGGGUCCCCCUUUGGCUUGUUCGGAGGGGGGCUUACGUUUUCACACAAACUUUGUAUGCAGUGUAGAGUGUAUUUUUUGUUUUUGCGAUCACGCAAUCAAUACAACUUUCAACAACGGAUCUCUUGGCUCUCGCAUCGAUGAAGACGCAGU